UACGUAGGUCCCGAGCGUUGUCCGGAUUUAUUGGGCGUAAAGCGAGCGCAGGUGGUUUAUUAAGUCUGGUGUAAAAGGCAGUGGCUCAACCAUUGUAUGCAUUGGAUACUGGUAGACUUGAGUGCAGGAGAGGAGAGUGGAAUUCCAUGUGUAGCGGUGAAAUGCGUAGAUAUAUGGAGGAACACCGGUGGCGAAAGCAGCUCUCUGGCCUGUAACUGACACUGAGGCUCGAAAGCGUGGGGAGCAAACAGG
rnacentral:rRNA from 1 species